GAUGAACGCUGGCGGCGUGCCUAAUACAUGCAAGUCGAGCGAACGGACGAGAAGCUUGCUUCUCUGAUGUUAGCGGCGGACGGGUGAGUAACACGUGGAUAACCUACCUAUAAGACUGGGAUAACUUCGGGAAACCGGAGCUAGUACCGGAUAAUAUUUUGAACCGCAUGGUUCAAAAGUGAAAGACGGUCUUGCUGUCACUUAUAGAUGGAUCCGCGCUGCAUUAGCUAGUUGGUAAGGUAACGGCUUACCAAGGCAACGAUGCAUAGCCGACCUGAGAGGGUGAUCGGCCACACUGGAACUGAGACACGGUCCAGACUCCUACGGGAGGCAGCAGUAGGGAAUCUUCCGCAAUGGGCGAAAGCCUGACGGAGCAACGCCGCGUGAGUGAUGAAGGUCUUCGGAUCGUAAAACUCUGUUAUUAGGGAAGAACAUAUGUGUAAGUAACUGUGCAUAUCUUGACGGUACCUAAUCAGAAAGCCACGGCUAACUACGUG
rnacentral:rRNA from 1 species